rnacentral:rRNA from 1 species
AACGAACGCUGGCGGCAUACCCAACACAUGCAAGUCGAACGAGAUCUUCGGGUCUAGUGGCGCACGGGUGCGUAACGCGUGGGAAUCUGCCCUUUGGUUCGGAAUAACAGUUGGAAACGACUGCUAAUACCGGAUGAUGACGAAAGUCCAAAGAUUUAUCGCCAGAGGAUGAGCCCGCGUAGGAUUAGCUAGUUGGUGUGGUAAAGGCGCACCAAGGCGACGAGCCUUAGCUGGUCUGAGAGGAUGAUCAGCCACACUGGGACUGAGACACGGCCCAGACUCCUACGGGAGGCAGCAGUGGGGAAUAUUGGACAAUGGGCGAAAGCCUGAUCCAGCAAUGCCGCGUGAGUGAUGAAGGCCUUAGGGUUGUAAAGCUCUUUUACCCGGGAUGAUAAUGACAGUACCGGGAGAAUAAGCUCCGGCUAACUCCGUGCCAGCCGCCGCAGUAA